rnacentral:ribozyme from 13 species
CCGAGGUGAAAAAAAAAAAAAAAAAAAAAAAAAAAAAAAAAAAAAAAAA